rnacentral:rRNA from 1 species
UACGGAGGGUGCGAGCGUUGUCCGGAAUCACUGGGCGUAAAGGGCGCGUAGGCGGCAGGCCAAGCGUGUGGUGAAAGCCCGGGGCUCAACCCCGGGUCGGCCACUGCGGACUGGCGUGCUUGAGCACUGUAGGGCGGGCGGAAUUCCAGGUGUAGCGGUGAAAGUGACGUAGAUAUCUGGAGGAACACCGGUGGCGAAGGCGGCGUUCUGGACUGGCAACUGACACUUGAGGAACGAAAGCCAGGGGAGGCAAAACGGGA